rnacentral:rRNA from 1 species
AUGAACGCUGGCGGCGUGCCUAAUACAUGCAAGUCGAGCGAACAGACGAGGAGCUUGCUCCUCUGACGUUAGCGGCGGACGGGUGAGUAACACGUGGAUAACCUACCUAUAAGACUGGGAUAACUUCGGGAAACCGGAGCUAAUACCGGAUAAUAUAUUGAACCGCAUGGUUCAAUAGUGAAAGACGGUUUUGCUGUCACUUAUAGAUGGAUCCGCGCCGCAUUAGCUAGUUGGUAAGGUAACGGCUUACCAAGGCAACGAUGCGUAGCCGACCUGAGAGGGUGAUCGGCCACACUGGAACUGAGACACGGUCCAGACUCCUACGGGAGGCAGCAGUAGGGAAUCUUCCGCAAUGGGCGAAAGCCUGACGGAGCAACGCCGCGUGAGUGAUGAAGGUCUUCGGAUCGUAAAACUCUGUUAUUAGGGAAGAACAAAUGUGUAAGUAACUAUGCACGUCUUGACGGUACCUAAUCAGAAAGCCAUGGCUAACUACGUG